rnacentral:snRNA from 1 species
AGCUCUUGGUUUCUCUUCAGAUCGUAUAAAUCUUUCGCCUUUUACUAAAGAUUUCUGUGGAGAGGAACAAGCACGAGUGUCGUGGAAUUUUUUAACUCUUAAUGCAAUACAUGAU